GAUGAACGCUGGCGGCGUGCCUAACACAUGCAAGUCGAACGAAUCAGAUAUUCAACACUGAGCUUUUAGACGAGGGAAUAAAGUUAGCCAGCAUCAAGGACGAACGAUAGAGAGUCCUUUGCGCGUUAAAAAGUGUGCUAACACAGAGUUGUCUGAAUGUUGAGUGUUGAAUAUCUGAUUAGUGGCGGACGGGUGAGUAACGCGUGGGGAACCUGCCCUAUACAGGGGGAUAGCCUCGGGAAACCGGGAUUAAUACCCCAUAAAACUCUAGUAUCGCAUGAUACGUGAGUCAAAGCUGAGGCGGUAUAGGAUGGCCCCGCGUCUGAUUAGCUAGUUGGUGAGGUAACGGCUCACCAAGGCGACGAUCAGUAGCCGGCCUGAGAGGGUGGACGGCCACACUGGAACUGAGACACGGUCCAGACUCCUACGGGAGGCAGCAGUGGGGAAUAUUGCACAAUGGGGGAAACCCUGAUGCAGCGACGCCGCGUG
rnacentral:rRNA from 1 species